GGACCAUGUAGAUUGCUCAACAAAUUCAAGUUCCUAUUAGCAGAUUUCCAGGACCUCAGUCUGAGGAAUGUCGCCCCUCAGUGAUCAAGACCACCUCCAGGCAGCUGCUCACCCUGGCUCAGGGGUCCGAUCUAUCCUGAGUGGUUAAUCAGCAGCGAACUCCGCCCUGGGCUACAAAUGUCUCUGUGGACAAGACCCUUUGAGGAAAACAGCAGGAAGUUCCUUUGUCCAGCCCUCCCAGGACAAGGAGAAAAUCCUGUUUUCACAAGCUCACAGGACUGUUGAGGGCCAGUGGGCGAAGACACAGGCAGCCAGACCCAGCCUGGCCCCCUGCUCCAUGCCCAGGACCCACGUGGCAGAGCCAAGAAGCAUCAGCAAGUGGUCCACACGAACACCAUGACACCUGUGGCCCCCUGCAUCCCAUCCACAUGAACAUCAGGACAUCUGUGGCCCCCUGCAUCCCAUCCACAUGAACAUCAUGACACCUGUGGCCCCCUGCAUCCCAUCAGCAUGAACACCAUGACACCUGUGGCCCCCUGCAUCCCAUAAAUAUAAUGUUAAAGAUGA